CUCAUGGUGCCUGCGGAACCGGCGACACGACGCGGCCUGCGGUCAGAUGGCGGCUGUUCCCCUGCUCCAACCUCCCGGCGCCAGAGCUACCCAGCACUCCGCGUAGCUUCCGACUGUCUGCGGAGCAGCUAGCGCGGCCUCGGGGAAUUGGCUGGGAAGCCCCGCCCCUGCCCGCCCCUUAAAGCGGAACCUCCCGCACCGCUCCGGACAGCUCGUGCGCACGGCGAGUCAGGAACAACGUCGGGGGCACGCCUCCCAGGCCCUGCGCGAGCCAAUUCCCAAACGUAAGUUCCUUUGAGCCGGACACUGAGAAGGCUGAGCUCAGGGCCACCUUUUGGUGUCCGGCGUCUGUGAUUUGUCCCACCCCGGGUCCCGCUGGUCUCCCCCUCCAACGGGAAGUAGGCGGGGAGGGGGCAUCCUCCAUUGAUGGGCUGCCGGGACGCUCUUCGCCCACUCCGAAGGCUAGCGACUGCUCCGGACACCAUCUUCCAUCUGCCUCUGCACCACGGCCCAGGCUACAGCCUAAGCUUCCGAACUUCGCGCCGCCACUUGCACUCUCAAAAGCCGGCCAAACUCACCUCCCGCCCUUUCCCCCACCAGGCCUAGUCAUCUCAGGCUUCUGGGACUUAGCUAGACCUCCGCUUUCUUUCAGGGCUUACUCCCACUAGUCCUUCAAGACUCAUCUUCUUAGUUUAGCUCACUUAAUUCAUCAUGCAGGAGCUAUUUAUUGAGCACCCACUACAGUACUUGGCUUUAUUAACUAUUGUUAUAAAAUAAUCUCAUCUAGUCUUCGCCAUCAAGUUUUCAAAUGCAUCUGUUUGGAGAGGAGAACUAAGGCUGACCCAACCCCCAGUGGCUGGCGCCAGGAUGUUGGGCAGCUAGGAUUCUGACAUCCGGAGACUAAUGGGCAACCUCCAGACUGUAGCAAACAUUCCAAGGUUGGGUCUGUUAGACGCAUUCACUGGUUUCCUACAAUAGACCAGAAGAUGCCAUGGCCAGGCUCUUCCACACUUUGCAGGGCCUCCCACACAUCAUCCUGGUCUCCCCAUGGUGCCUGGGUUUCCUUACCUCCCCAUCACCUUACCAUACUAGGCCCUGGAGGCAACUGCAGAGACCCUGAAGCCCACCCAACCUCCCUCCACAGAGGUCCCUGGAUUGAGGAUCCCUGGAUGGACUGCACUGAAAUCUGGAGAGGCUAUUUAAGAAGGCUUUUCCUUAUUCAUUACACUGAACAGAGAAGAUGCGGACUACAGAGAAAACUAAAGCUCAAAAGUUUAAGGAAAACGGAUCUUACAGCAAGUUUGGAACGGGGAUUCCCUUGUCAUCCUCAAAUUAGAAAGCAGUGUUAGAACUGAACUGCCAUACAGCAGGUUUCUUUAAAUAGUAAUACCACAUCAGUAAUUUACAGAACAGUUUUACAUGUAAUUAACAUUUGAUUGGGGGAAAAAUUUGAAACCUAAAUGUUUUCUCUAUAUGUGGAAAAUAAAAAAUUCUGUACAGAAAAAUC